UAAAGACUUUACAAUAAAAAUCAUAGGAAUAAUAAGGAUAAUAGAAUUGACACAGUAGAAAAAACAAAACGAGGAACCAGAUAGUAAAGGAGGUGGCAGAAAAAUCUAUAUAUUGAACAACACAACUUUUGGCCGAGGAGGACUAUAAAACUGAGCCUAAUCUUUGGUCUUAGCAUCCCAUCAGCCUGGGAGGGAAAAUAAUGCCCUGAAUGAGCACCAGGCAUCCCAUUCAGGUCCCAUCAGGCCAGUUAUGUGGGCUAUGAUUCAAGCCAUGGUUACGGCUCUGCUGCUGGAAGAAGGAUUCACCUGGUUUUGUGGUCUCGCUCUUCAGAAAUUGUAAUCAUUAUCCAUCCUAAGGACGGAGGAAUCAACGUUUCGGUAGAGAAGAAUUAGGUGCAACCUAGACAAGUGAGACAUUUCUAUGGUCUGGGUCUGAGAAAACAUGACAGGAAAGAAAGAGAAGGGCUGCAAGGCCACGGGCUCAAAGCAGAGGCUACCGAAGGACAAAUGUGUUACAAAGUGUUAUGAAAUGAAUUGACUUACUAGGAAGGCACAACAUCCAGCAUUACAAAAGGACUGCUCUGCCCUAGCCAUGUCCAGCUGAAUAACUGGCCACUACAUGACCCUCCACACCUCCAGGGUGGAGGCAGAGUUUGUAAGCUUGUGGCCUGCAGACCUAAAGUGGCCCAAAGAUGUAUUCUUUCUGAGCCCUCUCCCAAGUGAUUUGAAAAAUUAAGCCACACUAAAACAACAGGAGAUUUCACGCACACACAAAUUGAGAUUUCUAGCAUCUCUUAAAAGAUAACAAAGAAAUAAGCACUUAAAACUGAACUCAUAUUCCACAUGGCAGCACCAACUGGCCAAGAUUCAGUGGCUGCUGCUCCUUUACAGAGCAACGGCGAUGCUUCUGUGCCAGUGUGUGGCGGUGAAAGCAGGACCCUGGGGCCGGCCUGUCUAGCUGCCCUCCAACUCCACCCCUUACUAGCUGUGGGAACUUGUUAACUGUUCUGUUCCUCCGUUUACUCAUCAGUAAAAUGUGAU
rnacentral:lncRNA from 1 species